CAAAUUAGAGCUUGUAUAAGUAUUUUAUUUACACUAAAAGGAAAGUUAUUAAUUUAAUUUAGUUU
rnacentral:tRNA from 1 species